rnacentral:lncRNA from 1 species
UCCCUUGUUGGGAUGAUUUUUGGAUCAAUUCUUCCCAUCUAUCUGUAAGUUUUUUCUGUUAACAUAAAUAUAAGGAUAAUUAAUAUUGUAAAACAAUAAAAUAAAAUGAAACUAAAAUAAAAAAUGAAGAAUAUACAACUUAAAAUUGAGAAAUCAUUACAUACACAUAUUUUGAUCUUCUAUCAACUCAAGUAUUAUUCUUGUGGUAUUGGUGUGUGUGAAGAAACAAUUCCGAAAAAUUAGGAGGAGUGCCAUUCUAUUAUGACUAAGAAAAUAAAUAGAGUUGAAAAACAUGUUAGCAAUAUUUUAAAAAUAUAAAUUAAAAAAACACAUGUUUCUCAUCAUCCUCAUCCUCAUCUUCAACAUUGAUUUCUCAUUCUUCAUAUUCCCC